CGUACGUACAAGAGACGACAAGAUAUUACUGGAUAAUUUUCUACGUUUGAGAACGAGAUCAUCUCUUCUUCAACUCCUUUUACGACUAUCUAAAACGAAUAAAACAUCAUGAAAAAGAUUAGAGUACAAAAAUGGUCGUGGAACGAUUAAAAUCAACUAUCUUUAAUUGAUUUUCAUCAACAUCUGAUAACUUGAAAAUUUCAGGUCAAUGUGGAGUUGCAAUGGAGAUGAAUCUGAAGCUUCUACUUUUCUACAGCGUGAAUUACUAAAUCCAUCACUUACAGAUGUUGCCAUGAAGUCUUUUGAUUUAUAGCCUAAAUAAAAGUUUUUUAUAACCUCAA